UACGUAGGGGGCGAGCGUUGUCCGAAGUUACUGGGCGUAAAGCGCGCGUAGGCGGUCAUUUAAGUUCGGGGUGAAAGGUUCAGCGCUCAACGCGAACAGUGCCUUGAAUACUGGGUGACUUGAGUUCGGGAGAGGGCAGUGGAAUUCCUGGUGUAGCGGUGAAAUGCGUAGAUAUCUGGAGGAACACCGGUAGCGAAGGCGGCAUCCUGGACCGGUAUUGACGCUGAGGCGCGAAAGCCAGGGGAGCAAACGGG
rnacentral:rRNA from 1 species